rfam:Aedes albopictus isolate Foshan contig121916, whole genome shotgun sequence.
UGUUCUGUGGCUUAGUUGGUUAAAGCGCCAGCCUAGUGAAUACGGAGUCGCGGGUUUGAAUCCCUCCAGAACGC